UACGUAGGUGGCGAGCGUUGUCCGGAAUUACUGGGUGUAAAGCGCGUGUAGGCGGGAGGCCAAGUCUGUGGUGAAAUCGCUCGGCUCAACUGGGCGGGGUCAGCGGAUACGGCGUGGCUGGAGCAAGCUAGGGGGCAAUGGAAUUCCCGGUGUAGUGGUGGAAUGCGUAGAUAUCGGGAGGAACACCAGUGGCGAAGGCGGUUGCCUGGAGCUUUGCUGACGCUGAUGCGCGAAAGCGUGGGGAGCGAGUCCGG
rnacentral:rRNA from 1 species